rnacentral:rRNA from 2 species
CAUUUGAGUGAGUGGCGGACGGGUGAGUAACACGUGGGUAACCUGCCCUAAAGUGGGGGAUAACAUUUGGAAACAGAUGCUAAUACCGCAUAAAACCUAACACCGCAUGGUGUAGGGUUGAAAGAUGGUUUCGGCUAUCACUUUAGGAUGGACCCGCGGUGCAUUAGUUAGUUGGUGAGGUAAAGGCUCACCAAGACCGUGAUGCAUAGCCGACCUGAGAGGGUAAUCGGCCACACUGGGACUGAAGACACGGCCCAGACUCCUACGGGAGGCAGCAGUAGGGAAUCUUCCACAAUGGACGAAAGUCUGAUGGAGCAACGCCGCGUGAGUGAAGAAGGUUUUCGGAUCGUAAAACUCUGUUGUUGGAGAAGAAUGUAUCUGAUAGUAACUGAUCAGGUAGUGACGGUAUCCAACCAGAAAGCCACGGCUAACUACGUGCCAGCAGCCGCGGUAAUACGUAGGUGGCAAGCGUUGUCCGGAUUUAUUGGGCGUAAAGCGAGCGCAGGCGGUUUCUUAAGUCUGAUGUGAAAGCCUUCGGCUCAACCGAAGAAGUGCAUCGGAAACUGGGAAACUUGAGUGCAGAAGAGGACAGUGGAACUCCAUGUGUAGCGGUGAAAUGCGUAGAUAUAUGGAAGAACACCAGUGGCGAAGGCGGCUGUCUGGUCUGUAACUGACGCUGAGGCUCGAAAGCAUGGGUAGCAAACAGGAUUAGAUACCCUGGUAGUCCAUGCCGUAAACGAUGAGUGCUAGGUGUUGGAGGGUUUCCGCCCUUCAGUGCCGCAGCUAACGCAUUAAGCACUCCGCCUGGGGAGUACGACCGCAAGGUUGAAACUCAAAGGAAUUGACGGGGGCCCGCACAAGCGGUGGAGCAUGUGGUUUAAUUCGAAGCAACGCGAAGAACCUUACCAGGUCUUGACAUCCUUUGACCACUCUAGAGAUAGAGCUUUCCCUUCGGGGACAAAGUGACAGGUGGUGCAUGGUUGUCGUCAGCUCGUGUCGUGAGAUGUUGGGUUAAGUCCCGCAACGAGCGCAACCCUUAUUACUAGUUGCCAGCAUUUAGUUGGGCACUCUAGUGAGACUGCCGGUGACAAACCGGAGGAAGGUGGGGACGACGUCAAAUCAUCAUGCCCCUUAUGACCUGGGCUACACACGUGCUACAAUGGAUGGUACAACGAGUUGCGAGACCGCGAGGUUUAGCUAAUCUCUUAAAACCAUUCUCAGUUCGGAUUGUAGGCUGCAACUCGCCUACAUGAAGCCGGAAUCGCUAGUAAUCGCGGAUCAGCAUGCCGCGGUGAAUACGUUCCCGGGCCUUGUACACACCGCCCGUCACACCAUGAGAGUUUGUAACACCCAAAGCCGGUGAGGUAACCCU